CAGAGUAAACUGUCCGGCCGGACUGUUUACUCCGGAGUAGAAUGUCCUAGUUGGUCCUAUCCGUCCGGUUAGGACAAUUUACUCCGGAGCAAACUGUCCUACGUUGGAGUAAACUGUCCUACCAGAGUUGCCAAAAAGUCGAAAUCUAAAACGCCGGAAAGCCGAAAUGCCAAAAACAAACAUAAAAUUCUGUUUCCUUUUGGGUAAGGAAACACAAAAUUAUGUUUCCUUUUGGGUAGUUUCUUGCAACGGAAUUGCCAUGUUUUGAAUGUUUUGAAAAUGUUUAUCACAACUUAGGUACAUAUAUUAUAAGAUAAUUUUGAACCGUUACUGCCUGCUCUUUGAUGAAAUGUAAAGAGAAGUUAUUGACAAGUUAUUGCGUAUUUUACUUGUUUAAAAGUCAUAAUUAAUUUACAGAAUAAACACAAACAGUUUGUUUAAAUAUCAAUAAUAAACGUUUAUUAUUGGUAUUUAAACAAAACUGUUUGUUUAAACCUUUCACUGGGAAUUGGUGUCUAAAUGUGAAAAGAAAAGCUUAAGUUGUUGUACUCAAUGGUUUUCUUUCCAGACACUGCUGAACUUAGAUUUAUGGAUGUUUUAGCCUAAGAAAAUAUAACUUCUAUGUAAAAUGGAAAGGUUCACUAAUAUGUUUUUCCUGUGAUAUUGCAGUUAGAGUCUUUAAAGUUAAUUCAGCAUUUACAGAUACUAAGCGGUGGAAGUUGUUUUAUAUUCGCAGAUUGAGUAAACAGAUUAAAUCCUCAACAGUUAAAAUAACUGUGAUUGUGCAGGAAUACAGUUAUGUUGUUGCAUAUUGGAUUUGUAGAAGAUGAUAAUGUAUAAUGUCCACAAGGCUUAAAAGAUGGCAAAUAGUCUAUAAAUGAUCAGGAGAGUAAGGGCUUUUCGUACAUGGCUAGUUUUGUAUAACCCAAGAUCAUUUGCUGUGAAUAGCUCCUGCACUUGAUAUUGCUACUUAAUUUAAAAAACUGACGGCGUAUGUACUAAAAAAUACUAAAAAGAUUUUAAAUAUGUCUAUGAUUAUA